CCUACGGGUGGCAGCAGUGGGGAAUAUUGCACAAUGGGGGAAACCCUGAUGCAGCGACGCCGCGUGAGCGAUGAAGUAUUUCGGUAUGUAAAGCUCUAUCAGCAGGGAAGAAAAUGACGGUACCUGACUAAGAAGCCCCGGCUAACUACGUGCCAGCAGCCGCGGUAAUACGUAGGGGGCAAGCGUUAUCCGGAUUUACUGGGUGUAAAGGGCGCGUAGACGGUCGUGCAAGCCAGAUGUGAAAGCCCGGGGCGCAACCCCGGGACUGCAUUUGGAACUGUAAGGCUAGAGGGUCGGAGAGGCAGGUGGAAUUCCUAGUGUAGCGGUGAAAUGCGUAGAUAUUAGGAGGAACACCAGUGGCGAAGGCGGCCUGCUGGACGAUGACUGACGUUGAGGCUCGAAAGCGUGGGGAGCAAACAGGAUUAGAUACCCUAGUAGGC
rnacentral:rRNA from 1 species